ACCCGAUUUCAGUAAUUAGAACUCUUUCUAAUUGAUGAUUGAAUUAAACUCUUUAAUUCGAUCAAACCCAUAAGACAAGAUUGACGUCUAGCAACGUAUCAUGUCUACCUGGAAGAUAUGAAUUUUUUUAUGAAAAUACCAAAAAUAUCCUUGAAUGAAAAGUUAUCGUGCAAUUUGAUCCUACGAUCUCCCUGCACCCCGAAUAUGAAUCUGGAUAUGGUAUGAUGUCAAAUCCAAUAUCAUACUCAUAUUUCUCUCAAUCUUAUAUGAUGAUUCAAUUAAUAAAAUAUUAAAAACUCUUUUUAAUUUUUAUUCUGCUUUGAUCAAAGGCUUCCUGAAUCAUCAAUCGAUCAGAACAAGUAGGAUGCGAUUUCCUCUUACUAGGAGUGAUCGAUUCUAUGUUGACCUACUCACAACCUCCAUACACAUUCUACCAUAUCUAGAACACCCCAUACAUGACUAAGUCAUGAAUGAGUAUGAACCAAAAAAUAUGGAUUCAUGUAUACAAGAUUCUAUGGUAGUCUCAGGUCAAAGGAUUACAUGCACAACUCCCACUAUAAGAAAACAUCUCUUGACAGGUAAGUAAAUUCCAUAAGAUGUUUCUUAAGUCGGAUCAAUUCAGUGAACUCAUUUUCUAAUGAGCACCCACGUCCUUGUAUUAGUAUCUCACACAAGUGGCAUAUGAGAUCUGCCACCCUCUCCAUCGAGCAUACAUAGAAAGUGCUAAUCUAUCCGGAACAUUGAUCUCCUACUCAAUGCUCCUAUGACUAGAAAUAUUCUAAAUCAGGAUUUUUAGGAUUUUAGGUCUCAUAAGUAUGAUCUCAUCAUAACCCUAAACCCAUUUUUCUGAUUU
rnacentral:lncRNA from 1 species